ACAAGGUCCCAGAGAGGAGACAAGAGGGACUGGUUCUUCAGCUGCAAAAUGGGCAUUGCAGUGCCCUGUAGUUCCAUGGUGAGGAGCACAAAAGAUGGCAAGCAUCAAAGCUCUCUGCCCAGUGAUGCUACACCUUCCGGCCCUCUGCACCUGUCUGCCUCUCGGCCCGGGCGCUCAUUCCCUCUCUCCUGCGGACAGUCUCAGGGCUAGUUCCCUACUUUCAGUCUCCUUCCUCUGAUCUGCCAGUUUGCUCUUGUUCUUCCUAAGUCUCAACUUUGAUGUGUCACUCUCUUCCUUGAGACAUUCUGGGCUUCCUCAGCAUGGGCUGGCAUUCUUGGCCUCUAUUGUUACACCACAUCCUGUAGUUCUAGAUCUAUUCCCUUUUGCUCAUAUAUUCCUUCUCCUGGCCUCACAGGACUCCCUGCCAUUCUCCACCUUCUAUUUAGAUCCCUAUUUCUCCUCCAUUGAACCCUACCAUAUCACUUCACUGUGAAGGGAAGCCUUCUUGAUCUUAAAUCCUAUAAUGGCUCUCUGCAUACUUUCCUAGCAUCUGAUUCUGUAGUCAUCCAAUUAUAUCUUCAAUUUAUUAUAUAGUAGAGAGGCAGUAUAAUGGUGGUUAAGAACAAAGAUUCCAAAAUCAGAUUAUCUGGGGUUGAAUCCAAGCCCUGCCACUUCCUAGCUCUGAACUUGAGCAAGUUACCUCUGUCUUUAAUUUCUUCAUUCUUAAAAUACAGAUAAUGUGACCUGAAAAUGCACAAGGAAGGAAACUUGCAUGUGUAUUAUUCAUCAAAAGAAGCCAACCUGAAGAGGUUGCUUUCUGUAUGUUUUCAGAUAUAGGACAUUCUGGAAAAGAUAAAAUUACAGAGACAGUCAAAACAUCAGUGGCUGCCAGGGGUUGGGGUAGGGAGGGAUAAAUAAGCAGAGCACAGAGGAUUUAUAGGGCUAUAAAAAUACUCUGCAUGGUACUGUAAUUGUGACUCCAUAUUAUUAUAUGUUUUUCCAAACACAUAGAAUACACAACACCAAGAGUGAACUCUAAUGUAUGCUGUGGACUCUGGGUGAUUAUGAAGUGUCAAUGUUGGUUCAUCAGUUGUUAUAAAUAUACCACUUUACAACAGAUGCUUACGGGAGGGUUUGGACAUGUGUAGGACCCAGUGGUAUAUAGGAUAUCUCUAUACCUUCCUCUUAUUUGGCCUAUAAAUCUUAAAAUUCUCUAAAAAAUAAGAUCUUAAACAAAAUGCACAUUGUGAUAAUUUUUUGGUGGCGAGGAGAGGGGGACCAGAGGGAUUGAGCUCAGAGGCACUCAACCACUGAGACACAUCCACAGUCCUAUUUUGUAUUUGACUUAGAGAUAGAGUCUCACUCAGUGGCUUAGCACCUCACUUUUGCUGAAACUGUCUUUGAACUCGCGAUCCUCCUGUCUUAGCCUUCCAAGCCGCUGGGACUACAGAUAUGUGCCACCACACCUGGCCGCACACCUGUACUUAUUUUCUCCUCCCCUUGAGAGUGGGAUGUGCUCAUUGACUGUAACUGAAAUGACAGUGUGUGCCCUUCCACUUCCUCCUUCUCUUGGAUCAAUCAUUCCGUUCAGUCAGCUCCCUGCUUAAGAACACCCAUGCAACCCUAUGGUCAGGCCCACAUGGCAAGGAACUAAGCCCAAGAGAUAAUUAGUACAGAUUAAGUGAGUUGAUAUCAGCGUAGAAAAUUAUUAGAUAUGCCUUUAGAAUGUGGUAAAUAGUAUUAUUGUAAUAGCUAUAGCAGUUGUUAUUUUGAAAUAUAUUAUUCAUAUGGAAACAUUUAGCAUAUAAAGUAACAAAUAGCCAAAAUACUGACAGUGAGUGUCAAAUAAAAACACAUAGCCAUCUGUCAUGGUUUGGAUAUGAGAUGUUCCCCAAAAGCUCCUAUGUUAAUGUAGGAAUUGUCAGAGGUGCAAGGAUUGGAUUAUGAGGGCUAUAACCUAAUCAGUUCACCUUAUUUUGAAUGGACUAAGUGGUGACUGUAGGCAGGUAGGUCAUGGCUGGAGUGGGUGGGUCACUGAGGCAUGUCCUGAAAGGGUUCACUCUCCCUGUGGUCCCUUCCCCCUCCUCUCUCUCUUUCUGCUUCCCGGCUGCCAUGUCCUGAGCAGCUUCCCUCUGGCAUACACUUCCACCAUGAUGUUCUGCCUCACCUUGGGCUCAGAGCAAUGAAGUCUGCCCGCCAUGGACUGUGCCUAUGAAAACAUCAGUCAAAAUAAACUUUCCUUCCUCUAAGUUGCUCUUGUUAGGUAUUUUAGUCGCAGUGAGGCAAAACUGACAGAUACACCAUAUUUUGCAUAUUUUUUAAGAAGCAAAAUAUUUUAGGUAAUUGAAGUCCUGUGUACCCUCCCCACAUUCCAGUCCUACCUAGCAGGGGGCUACAGUUCCAAAUUUUGUGUGAUCAUGCUUUUAUAUUUUUAUUUUCUGUUCUAAAAUAAUACUGUGCAUAAUAGCUCUUUUCAAAAUGUGUUUUUGGUCAACACUAUGUUUUUGAGAUUUAUUUUAAAAUAGGUAGCUUCAGUUAGUCCAUUAUAACUACUCUGUUAUAUUAUAUAAAUAUUCUCUAAUUCAUCAUUUUAUUUUUGAGAAAGAUUUUUGUUGAUUCCGGUGUUAGAAAAAUCAGAGAUCAUCAUGCAGAUGAGAAGGUCAAGCUGAAGAUGGAAAUUGACUUGACUAAAGUCAUAUAAAAUAUAGUGGAGCCGGGACUUUGAAAGACAUUAUGGUAGCUGGGAGGGGCCAGUUGUCUUCUCAACAUACUUUUCUCUUAUCUUUUCUCAGACUCCUUGGAGGAACUCCUCUUGUUCCACAAGAUCCUGUUGGGAAUGUCAGUGACUCCCUCAAGAGCCAGCAAGAGAACCCAUGACUCAGGCUUUGUCAAUCACAGUACAACAUUCCCUGGUAUAUAAUGAUUAGCUCAGGAAGAUCAUGUUAAACCAAUCUGAAUCCUGUGAUUUUGCUGAGCUUAAAAAAAUAGAAGCCUGGAGUUUUCAGAAAACUUCUCUCCUGCUAUGUGGGGAAAGUCUGACUCUGGAAAAGAGAAUGAAACCAACACAGAGAGAAGCAGUGACAAAUAGGUGGGAGGGAAGUGAAAGAACAAAGGUUAUUUGGGCCCUUGAAUACAAAAUGCCUGAACUUCAGUCCUUAUCCUUUAUUUUUAGCUUAACCCAGUUUGACUUGUGUUUCUAUAUCUUGCAACAGAGUCCUGACUCUCAGUUCACUGUCCUUUGUACUCUGCCACAACUGCACCUCCUAGAUAUUGAGUAAACACUUGAUUGUAAUGACAACCUCAACAAAGCCAUGGAAAUAUCACUGAUCUUGGAGUUAGGGAACACAGCAAGACUAACUGCAGUCACAGUUAUAAUGUGGCACUUCCCUUCUCUUGGAUAAUCUAUUUCACCUCGACCUGUCAUCC
rnacentral:lncRNA from 1 species